UACGUAGGGUGCGAGCGUUAAUCGGAAUUACUGGGCGUAAAGCGUGCGCAGGCGGUGAUGUAAGACCGAUGUGAAAUCCCCGGGCUUAACCUGGGAACUGCAUUGGUGACUGCAUCGCUAGAGUAUGGCAGAGGGGGGUGGAAUUCCACGUGUAGCAGUGAAAUGCGUAGAGAUGUGGAGGAACACCGAUGGCGAAGGCAGCCCCCUGGGCCAAAUACUGGACGCU
rnacentral:rRNA from 1 species